CUUGUACACACCGCCCGUCACACCAUGGGAGCGGGUUCUGCCAGAAGUAGUUAGCCUAACCGCAACGAGGGCGAUUACCACGGCAGGGUUCGGUGACGUGGGGUGG
rnacentral:rRNA from 1 species